rnacentral:lncRNA from 1 species
AAGCAUUGCCCUGGCCUAAGACACCACAUGGGUCAUUUCUUCCAGGCUCCAACUUGCUUCUGCUUUGCCAUAUGGUAACACGCCGUAUUAUGGAAGCACCAUCAUUACCGCCAUUUGCAGGGGAAGCCUAAAGAGAUAAAUGCCAGCCAGCAUCCCUGUCUCUGGGGCCCUGGAGAGGCCUUCAACACACCUGGCCUCACUGCCCUGUGGCUUCAACAAAGAGGCCGAGCAUCUCCUAUAAACCUUGAGGUCCAUGGAUGACAUAGCGGAAUGAUGGAUUUCAGAAAAGGCAGGUGCUUCCCACUCUUUAAAUUUUUGUUUAUUCUUUCCAAGUUUCCCAUCAACAGCCCUGCAGUAAAAAUUCAGGGCUUCAGAGACAAAUAUUUCAUGAGUACAGACUGUGAUGAGGAAAAGCAAGCCAUUCCCUCUCUAUCAGGAUCCAGAGCACACUGCUGUUACGACUCCAGAACCGAUAAGGAAGCUAUGUGUGGAAGUAUGAGCUCAGGUCGCCUUCUGACCCUCUGUGACGGUCUAUUUCAGGCAGUUAUGGAUAGAUAACAUUACAGACACUGAAAGAAAAACAAGAUGUCUGAGAAGGGGAAGGGAGCACCGUUUUCAUACCUGGCUUGGCUUAGCUGCACGAGAGAAGAAAAGGCCGUGGCUGAAUCCAUCUCCAGGAGCAGCUGUCCCCCUGCACCGUUUGAAUUGCGAGGAAAGAGUUACAGUUUUAGAAAAGAAUACCUGACACAAUGAACAAAAACCAGAGCUUUUGAAUACAGAUUUCCAGUAAAACCAAACCCAGCUUGGGUCAGAUGCACCUUUCCAGCAACCACCAUCUCAGCAACAACCUGCCAGCUGUCAACUGGAAGUUCAGCUUCUGGGAACUUCAGCCCCCUUCUCAGAGGAGCAAGGUCCUAGCACCAACAGCACCUGCAGUGGAGCCCAAGUAUGGCUGCUUCAUGGAGAAGGCAGAUAUUGAAAUGUGAUCACUGAGGCUCAGUGGGAAUCCCUUUGCUCUCAAACUCCCCGAUGCAAUGCCUUCUGAUUUCAACAGAAAAGCAAGAGGCUCCAGGCACCCCAUUCAGGGACUGCCACCAAAGUACCCGCAAAUCCUUCAUGAAAGGGGAGACAUUGACACAUUCUUUUUUUAUUCUCUGGUAGGUAUCUGUUUGCGUGCAAAUCCGUGAGUGCUUGCAUCUCGUGUAUUUGAAAAUCCUGUUUAAGAAUGCAGAGGUCCAUAUAGUGUCAUUAAAACAAAUGAGU